UACGGGGGGAGCAAGCGUUGUUCGGAUUUACUGGGCGUAAGGGCGCGUAGGCGGCCACUGCAAAGUUCGGUUGUGAAAUCUCCGGGCUUAACCCGGAAAGGUCAAUCGAUACUGCAGGGCUAGAGUGCAGAAGGGGGCAACUGGAAUUCUCGGUGUAGCGGUGAAAUGCGUAGAUAUCGAGAGGAACACCUGCGGCGAAGGCGGGUUGCUGGGCUGACACUGACGCUGAAGCGCGAAAGCUAGGGGGAGCGAAACGGG
rnacentral:rRNA from 1 species